GUUAGGUUUCCUUUUUUCUUUUUCUUUUUUAAGAGAGACACAGUCCUCCUGUGUCUUCUCCAAGCUUCACAUGUAAGAUCCAACAGUGUGAAGCACAUAGCAGCUAGAAACUGUAAUGCCACAGAUCAGAGAGGCUUCAUCAUCACCAUCUUCAUCGCCGUACGAUCAGAGCGUGAGACUUCACAUCUGGAGCACAGGAGACAUUCUGUGAUAAGUCCUCCUUCUAGCUUGUCCCACAAGCAGUCGAGCUGAGACACUCAGGACUGAACAGACUGCACAGUUUCUGUGACCGAGCCUCCAAAACACCUUCUUUGAAACCACUCAUGAUAGAAGGGCUUCAUAUUUGCAGCAGCACUACUACAGUUGGCAGGAAUGUUGCUGCAGGAAAACAUCCCUGGAGAUCACCAUCAUUGUCAGACUGACUGUGCCUCCUCUGUGCAGUGUCAAGAUCCUCC